rnacentral:lncRNA from 1 species
AUAUAUACAAGCAUUUUAUCCCAAGAUGGUCGAAUUGCAAUUUGUCUUUUGGUUUACUAAUUGGAACUUGUAUGCGCUAUAAAAAAAGUUAAUGUAGAAUCUCUCUUCUUUGUGCUGUGGUUUUGACUUUGUCAUCGUAUCUAUUGAUUUUUUGUUUUUUCAUGAUGAACUUGAGUUGGAAACCUAUCCUAUAAAUGUUAUGCCAGCGACCAUGUUUAUGCCCAAAUGCCUUAUUCAGAUAGCGGUUUACUCUUGUUCUCAAUCAGAAGUAACCACCACAUGUAUACAAGUAAAAAUGCAUAUUUGGUGUGAAACAGUGUACUUAGAAGUACCUUAUCCGAACUUGUCCGUAAGUUCAUUUUCCAGUCUUGGUUGCGGAUGUUGCACAUUAGUCACUUCCUCAAGCAACUUACUGAUAUUUUGGUUGUGUCCUGCUUCAUUGGAAAGUAAGUGUUUUCAGUACGCAACUUAUGAUGAGACUAAGUCGAUAACCAAACUUUAAUUACCACAAGUCACAACUAACAUUGGUAUUGGAUUUCACCUAUAGUAUUCUAUUGGUGCAUUUGCCUCGUACUUCCAUGUUAUUAUAUGAAUGAAUCCCCUCUAGUGCAGGAUUGGUCAUGUUUAAAUAUUGUUAUAAAUUUUAAAUUAUAAAUAUUUCGAUCUAAUACAAUAAGAAAUAAAUACAUGACACAAAUGGGUAUAGAGCAGUAGAAAAGUAUUUUUGCUUUGGUUUCUGACAAGAGAUGCUGCCUCCUAGUGUUUGUCGUACAAAAUUUACCUUCGAAAUAUAAAAUAACAAGCGUUAAUGUGGAUGCAAAAUGGUAGUAUCAUGUGGAACGGCUCUAUAUUUAGCAAUUAAAAGACCUCUACUGUGUAUGUACGUACAAGUUUUGGGCACAAAAUGAAGCCAAAGGAAAUAGGAAUUUGUUAAUUCUUUUGUUUCCCAACUGUAAAAUACUUACUCAGACCACUUUACCAAUUGCCACCGACGUGGGUGAUAGUGGCGACCUCCGUGUUCUUCCCGCUUUAAUUCUUUCUUUCUUUCUUUCUUGGAUUCGUAUUCUUUCUCAUGCAAUGAAAAGUACAAUAGCAUAGUGGACUUGUGCCAGUGCCAACGCGAAAGCAAGGGAAUAAACUCAAACUCCAAUGGCUUCAUUGAUAAAUCUUGGCGUCUAUAUAUUACAAUUCAACUGUAUCCCUUGUUUUGAUUAACAAAUUAUUUUAACAUGGCAGCCUUUUGUUAUUUAGCCCUAGCAUAUUGAGCUCUAUUAAAAAAACUCAAAAUAACACGAAAAUCCAGCUUGUAUUUGAGUUUUUGCCCUGGUUAAAUUGUUUUGCAGAUAUGAAAGGUUCUUUUUAUCAUAGACGCAUAACGGAUUGUUACUACAUUAAUUUGAAGUUAAAAGUACUAAAACUGACAGACAUAUGAGGGGAUAGCAUAUAUAUACACACACCUUGAUUUCAUAGCCGCAGCGUUUGAAAACUCUAAUGAAAACAGCUUCCCGGUGUCACAAGGAUCGAUCAUAUAUAAGCUAGGCCUCAGUAGUGGUUUAUGGUGUUG